rnacentral:rRNA from 1 species
UACGUAGGCAGCAAGCGUUGUUCGGAAUUACUGGGCGUAAAGAGCGUGCAGGCGGUUUUCUAAGUUCCGUGUGAAAUCCCCCGGCUUAACCUGGGGGGUGCGCGGAAGACUGGAGGGCUGGAGUAUGGGAGAGGAAAGCGGAAUUCCUGGUGUAGCGGUGAAAUGCGUAGAUAUCAGGAGGAACACCUGCGGUGUAGGCAGCUUUCUGGACCAUCACUGACGCUGAGACACGAAAGCGUGGGUAGCAAACAGG